ensembl:lncRNA
AAUGAGAAUAAGCACAGUAAGUACGCUUGAUCUCCUUCCUAUGCAUGGCUUGUUGUUUUUUUUUUUUCCUCUUUGCAUAUAGUUAUUUUCCUCUAUUAGGCUUGCUGAGCCAAACUGCCCUGUGGGUAUGCAAUUGCUGGAUUCAUUCCAGUGAAAGCAGGGGCACACAGAGGUGGAGCACAGCCCAGGAGCAUCCCCUUCAUUAGCAGGAGCCAUUACCAAAAACCCCGUGCCAUUAACAACAACGGUUGCUCUGUUAUCGUCCCAUCACUACACAUAAUUGCUUCUUAAGAAAGAUAGCAGAGCGUAGAGUUUAAGCACUCCCCAGUGAAUUCAAAGCAAAUCCUGGUCUGGGGUGUGGUUAGGCACUAUGGUUGGACUGGUUCAAACUUGUUGCCAAAAAGUAUCUUCUGCCAAGAGAGAAUAGUCCUGCUCCUCCCCGCUGCUGGCAGCACCUUUGCCCCCACUUCUCACAUGCUGCCUCUACUGUUCAUCAUCCAAAGCAGUUUAUUUCUUAGCCAAAAAUUAACACCCCAGAAAUGGGAACGGCUCCUUGGUGUCUUGGAAGGUCUGAUUUACUGAGUGUUCAGAUAGGCACCAGUGUGAUUGGGGGGGGGGGGAGGGAGUGCGUGGGGAAAGAGUGCUGCUUUGUGUCAGCAGGCCGUCAGAUCAGCUCUCCUGUAUUGCUCAACUGCGCCCUUCGGCAGCCAUGGGAACUUGAACAAAAUACAAUAGAUUUUGCUGUGAGAACACUCAGUUCUACUGUGAAAGCGCUAGCACUUGGCUGCAACGCAAUCAUGUCUUCAGCCGCUGCAGCUGCCGAGCUGAGCAAACAUAUUUCUGCACUGAUCGCAGUCAGUGCUUACAGGUGCUUCUGCAAUGCCAACACAAAAGGCUCCGUUGCUCUUUAAGAUUUGGGCACGCGGACAGAAGGCUACAGGAGAACAGCGGCACAGAGUCAACAACAAACACUUCCUUCUCCCUCUUGUGGGAUUGCCGUCGUUUUGAAUCCCUUCGCAGGAUUUCCAAGUCAGCAGGAAGAAGGGAGAAGUGGAAACCACUCGGGAAAGUGGAAAAGCGACUGAGGUUUCUAUGCAGAGUCCAGGACUGCACGGCCAGACCAGUAAUUGGGGCAAUUAUGGUGGUGUUAAAUGGAAAGAUCUGUACACAAGCACAGUCAGUCUGACCACCACAGUGCUUGUCUUUAAAAGAAACUGAAAAUAUUUCUCUCUAGGUAAUCUUCUAUUACAGAAAGCUGAUUUAGUUUCGGAUUUUCCAGCAAUAUGGAGAGUUGUUAGGGGUUCGUAUUAUGGUUUUAUUGCCUUCCAUAAGCAUUUACACAGAAAACUCGAAUCUUUUCAUCCUUGUUACCUGAAGCUCUCCAGAGACAUAAGAAACAAGCAAAAAAACAACACAAAACAGUGGGGUUAGAGGAGAACGAGAGAUAGGCGGUAGAUCCUCUCCCAUUGGGAAAAGGCAUCGGUAAAUAAAGUCCCACCACAUGAGCAGGCUGACUCGCAGGGAACGAGGAGGAUGCCAAAAUAAGACGUGAAAGGUUGAUUUCCAGCCGUCGUCCAGAGAGCGCCGGACGCGGAUCCGCGGAGCAGCGCUUUCUGGGCUCAGAAGGGAUCUCCCGGCAGCACGGCGUCCGCCGCGCGCUCUGGGAAGCGCUGCCCGCCGGCAGCCCGCCGCGCGCUCCCACCCCUG